AACAUCGCGCACCUGCGGGAACCUGCGGAAGGAUCAUUACAGAGUUGCAAGACUCCCUAAACCAUUGUGAACCUACCUUCUACCGUUGCUUCGGCGGGCGGGCCCAGCGCCCCCCCCGGCCCCCCGCGGGCGCCCGCCGGAGGAUACCCAAACUCUUGACAUUAGUGGCCUCUCUGAGUAUUCUUUACUGAAUAAGUCAAAACUUUCAGCAAUGGAUCU
rnacentral:misc_RNA from 1 species